rnacentral:rRNA from 1 species
UACGUAGGUGGCGAGCGUUACUCGGAAUUACUAGGCGUAAAGCGCGUGUAGGCGGGAGGUUAAGUCUGCUGUUAAAUCUAAGGGCCCAACCCUUAAAUGCCGGCGGAUACUGGCCUUCUUGAAUUCGGUAGAGGUAACUGGAAUUCCAUGUGUAGCGGUGAAAUGCGUAGAUAUAUGGAAGAACGCCAAAGGCGAAAGCAGGUUACUGGGCCGCAAUUGACGCUGAGACGCGAAAGCUAGGGGAGCAAACAGG